UUUAACUGGUAGAUGACCUUGCAGGGACAUUUGACUGGUACGGGAAGAACGCUUCAAGUGGGCACAGACACAGCUCCGGUAAACACACUGCACGUGUGGCCCCUCCAAGAGCCGGCAGGCAACUGCACAGGCAGACAGCCCACCCCACGGGCAGAUCAGAGAAGAAGAGACGCAAGACCCCGGAAGCAUGCCAACGUCACGCUGCACUUCAUCCCUCAAGUCACCCGCGCGGCCCUCUUGCAAGAAGUUAUGUUGGAGAAAUAACAACAUUAUUGAAAUAAUCUGUGGCCUGAAGUAACAGGGCAACCAUCUGGCAAUCCUGAGUACAAGACAGAAAUUCAGCAUUUGGAUAAGGAAUCUGCUACUGCUUGUGGGUGUUUGCAGGAGAAAAUAUAGACAUGCAGUUACAAUGGUACCAUCCGUUUCUGAAAGGGUCUCACUCUGUCGCCAGCUAGAGUGCAGUGGCACAAUCCCAGCUCAGUGCAGCCUCAACCUCCAGGGCUCGAGUGAUCCUCCCACCUCAGCCUCCUGAAUAACUGGGACUACAGAUG